GACGAACGCUGGCGGCGUGCUUAACACAUGCAAGUCGAACGAAGAGCGAUGGAAGCUUGCUUCUAUCAAUCUUAGUGGCGAACGGGUGAGUAACGCGUAAUCAACCUGCCCUUCAGAGGGGGACAACAGUUGGAAACGACUUCUAAUACCGCAUACGAUCUAAUCUCGGCAUCGAGGAUAGAUGAAAGGUGGCCUCUACAUGUAAGCUAUCACUGAAGGAGGGGAUUGCGUCUGAUUAGCUAGUUGGAGGGGUAACGGCCCACCAAGGCGAUGAUCAGUAGCCGGACUGAGAGGAUGAACGGCCACAUUGGGACUGGGACACGGCCCAGACUCCUACGGGAGGCAGCAGUGGGGAAUCUUCCGCAAUGGACGAAAGUCUGACGGAGCAACGCCGCGUGAGUGAUGACGGCCUUCGGGUUGUAAAGCUCUGUUAAUCGGGACGAAAGGCCUUCCUGCGAAUAGGGAGAAGGAUUGACGGUACCGGAAUAGAAAGCCACGGCUAACUACGUG
rnacentral:rRNA from 1 species